AUUCUUGUUAUGGUAACCUAUCAAUUGUAUGCUGUGUGUUUGAUGCAAUCAUGCAUGCAUCUGGCAACUGAAUUGGGAAGGAGAUAAUGAGAUUCUUAUUAUUUAAUUUCAGCUUUGCUAUUUCUCUCUAACCAUAGAGGAUCUUCUUAGUAUCAUGCAUCUCCAAGGUUUUCCAUUUCCAUUGCUUACAGGAUUAUGUUGCAACAAGAUGGUAUAAAGCUCCUGAAUUGUGUGGAUCCUUUUUGCUGUAAUGUGCAUGAAUUUUUGUUGGCUAGGUAUGUGGAAUCAAUUUGAUAAUGCACUAACCUUUGCUCUAUCCUUUGGGACCUAAAAGAGCUUUCUUUGCGAGGGAUAUUGGCCCCAGAGCUUGGGAAACUUAGCCACUUGAGAGCUCUGCCGCUGGUGAUCUGUCAGUAAAAAUUGGGGCCAUACUAUUGUGGUGAUGGAGCUGACAAGGCAUUUGGACGAUGACUGCUCCUAUUAUACUUACAAUCGGUGAUCUGUUGUAUUCUGAAAUUUGUUUAUUUAGAAAUGUGAAUGUAGGAUGCAUUGUAUGUUUUGAUUGCUAUUUGUAAUAUGAAUGCAUCCUUUUCUUUUCUGAUUGCAUUUUAUGUACUAUUUCUAGCAGCAUUAAUUGUAUUAGCUUAGUUGAGCUGAUCAA